ACGCUCGACACCUACGUGAGGCAGCAGUGGGGAAUAUUGCACAAUGGGGGAAACCCUGAUGCAGCGACGCCGCGUGGAGGGAGAAGGUCUUCGGAUUGUAAACUCCUGUUGUUGGGGAAAAAGAGGAUGGUACCCAACAAGGAAGUGACGGCUAACUACGUGCCANCAGCCGCGGUAAUCUGAGCGGGCUGGCAAGGC
rnacentral:rRNA from 1 species